UCCUACGGGAGGCAGCAGUGGGGAAUCUUGGACAAUGGGCGCAAGCCUGAUCCAGCCAUGCCGCGUGAGUGAUGAAGGCCUUAGGGUCGUAAAGCUCUUUCGCCAGGGAUGAUAAUGACAGUAGCAGGUAAAGAAACCCCGGCUAACUCCGUGCCAGCAGCCGCGGUAAUACGGAGGGGGUUAGCGUUGUUCGGAAUUACUGGGCGUAAAGCGCGCGUAGGCGGGCUAUUAAGUCGGGGGUGAAAUCCCGGGGCUCAACCCCGGAACUGCCCUCGAUACUGGUAGCCUUGAGUUCGAGAGAGGUGAGUGGAAUUCCGAGUGUAGAGGUGAAAUUCGUAGAUAUUCGGAGGAACACCAGUGGCGAAGGCGGCUCACUGGCUCGAUACUGACGCUGAGGUGCGAAAGCGUGGGGAGCAAACUGGAUUAGAUACCCUGGUAGUCCACGCCGUAAACGAUGAAUGCCAGUCGUCGGGAGGCAUGCCUUUCGGUGACACACCUAACGGAUUAAGCAUUCCGCCUGGGGAGUACGGUCGCAAGAUUAAAACUCA
rnacentral:rRNA from 1 species